CUUCACAUUCAAAAUAUCAAAAAACAGGUUUUGUAAUGUUAGCGUGACAUAAUGUUAAUAAGAGCAUUAUAUAAUAUCACAUAGGCUAAUAUUUUUCUGAAGAUAGUUUAAUCUGUAAUUGUAUCCCUUCCAUCAGUAAUUUUCUUUCAAUUACACCCACGCUCAAAAAAUACUGCAGACUACUGGGUAAUUUGUUAGUCAGAGAAAACAGAGUUUUUUGGCACAUGCAUUAAGCAGGGAACGAAAAUAUUUAUUUGGAUAACUUUAAAUAAAACGAGACUGUAAUAUUGCAUCCUAUUGUUUUCAAUGCCAUUUGGAUAGGGGUGUUAUACGGUCUUCCAAACAGCAGGGGGCGCUGUCUCGAAAAACGAGGCAUUUGAGAAUGCCCCACCCAGCACAAGACGUCAUUUAGACAUUGUUUUUUGGGCUAAAUUAGUGAUGGGAGAAAUGAAGCUUUUCAACGCUUCGAAUCAAUUGAACCAAUUGCUUCGAAAAUUGAUUCAGUUUUUCGAAGCAGUUCGAAACACCACACACGCUGGCGACCCCUGCUGGUCAAAAUAGUGUAAAAGCAGAUAUGUUCAAACAUUUUACACUUUUGUUCACAAAAUAAUAGCAAGAUUUGUAUUAAAAUAUGUUUAAAAAAAUGAUUUAACUUAAUUAAGACAUAGUUAAAAGUCUAAUAUGUGUUUUUAGUUUUAUUUAGGGCAAACAAAUCAUUAAAACUAACUAACCUUUUAAUUAUGCACAUUUUUGUCAUUAAAUCUGUCUAUAAACAAAAAGUGGAUAAAACUGCAGUGUUAUUAGUCAGAAGGAUAAGGCAUAAAAAAAAUAAGUUUGGUUCUGGUUGGUUGUCAGUUUAGGUGAUGGGUCGGUAGGGAUUUUAUUUUAUUUUUUUUCAGUGGCAGCAAGGGAUAGGUAGGAAAUUGUUACAUUUUUAAAUUGAAUAGCGGAUAUAUGAGGUGACUUUGGCUAUAUUGCGUGUUUGUCUCACGCAGCGCAGCACGUCUCCACGGAUUAUCUCUUUUGUCAUAAUCAGGAUUUGACAUUAACUUUUUUGCUCACCAGCCAAAGUGGCUAGUUUUUCAAAGUUACUAGCCACUCAGCAUUUUCACUGGCCAAAUUUUUGUUGCUGGUAAAAUCAAUUUUAUAUGAUUAAACUUGACUUUGGCAUCCUAAAAUGACUUUAAUUCGAGCAAAUUUACUUGCUAAAUUAGAUGCAGACUGAAUUUCAAAUGCAGUCUGACUACCCAAAUUAAGUCAACAUUUAUUAGCUGGUAUAUAGCUGGUAUAUCAGUAUAGAUCAUAUCAUAUAUUUAGGUGCAUGAAAAACAUGCUAGUAAGUAAGGCAUAAAUAGAUUAACUUUGAAAGAAUAUAUUAAAAGUAAAGCAGGGGUGUAGAAGAUACACUAAUUCUAAACUGAAAAGAUAAACACAAAAACCAUCGACAACCACUUUAAAUAUUUAUUAACAACAGCAGUAAAUACUGUCAAGAAAUGUACAUUAAUUUUACUGUCAGCUAGUUUAUGCAUUUGUAUUUUAUAAGCUUGAUCAUGGUUACUGAUAAAAGUGAUUUAAGACUUUUUAAUGACAAAUGUUGAGAGGGCAUUAUUGUAACAUUAAAAUGAUGCGCAAACCUCUCAGCUCUUUGAUUUCGUGUGCAUCCAGGUAUGCGCUGAAUUUCUCUUCGCUCUUGCACUGAGAGUUUGCAUGCAAUUUAUAUCUAAUCAAUCACUUCCAUGCAAUUGUUUUAUCUUUCCCGAAGUGUGUAUGCGCUCAGACUGCGUCCUCUUGUGCAUUCGCAAAUCCAUCAGCUCUUGCGCGCUCUCUGUAAGGUGACGCUUUGGUCCGCAACGCCCCGCUGAUCGCGUGCGCGUCUCUCAACAAACGGUCUCUUUGCGUUGCGCUGGGUGCAGAGUGCUCAUGGAAGUUGUCGCAUUGCGUAUUGUUUAUCAUUUCGCAUAACUUUUAAGAAAACUACAAUUAAAAAAUUAUAUUCAACCUGGCAAAGUGGCUAGUGGGAUUGGCUGUCUUACCGCCACGGCAUUUGGCGGGGUGUUAAUGCACACCAAAAGUUACCAGUGCUUUUGUAAGUGACGACAACGAUGUGUGAACGAUUGUGUUAACAACCGUAUAGCUGCCUUGUUUUUAGCAUUGGUAGAGGACGUUGCAUCGCGUGCUUUACAAAAACGGUGCUGUACUAAAAGGUAAAUUAUAGUUCGCCUCAAAGUUUUUGUGUAUUUAUUUAAUGUGUAUUAUUUCUUCCCCAAGCUCAUAAAAUAAAUUGGCAGGGUCGGUCGGAAACCGGAACCAAACAAAUUUUUUUCUUAUGCCUAAAUGUUUUAUGAACUUUCAUAAUAAAACUGACCCGAGUUCACCUAAACAUAUUAGACAGUGGUCAUUUGAUCAACUCCCCCUAGUGGUGAACCAUCGGAUUUUCGAAACGUUUCGAAACAGUUAUGACGUAAUGAAGCCUUGUUUGCUAAAAUCACGUGACUUGGGCCAGUUUGAAACAAGCUCCGAAUGUUUCGAAGCCUCAUGAAGCAGUGCUUCGAAAACGACCAUCACUAGGCUAAAUCACGUCGGCCCGUCAUGACCUUCAUUUAGUCCAAAAAAAUACGUUGAAAACUGGUCUUUGUUUGGUCCGUCUAAUUCAGUCCAAAUUUAGCCUAAAAUUAGACGUCUUUUUCGGACCACUUUUCAAUGUGUCUCCAUUCAAUAAUAAUCCUGACAAAAUAUGCAUGAAUGUAUAUGUAGAAACAAUAAAUACUGAGCACAUUGACCGAUAAUGAAACACGUGCUUUGUUUAAAGUCUAUUAAUAUUUCUGUUUAUUUGAAUUAAAUAAAUAUGUUAAAUGUGCUCUAAACAGGUCAUUUCGGUCCUGUACAGCACUGAUAGAAGCACUUCAUUUUCAUCUUUUAACAAAUAUCUUUAUUUUCUUUUGAUAUGAUAUUAUUGGCAGAGGCGCGCGUUCGUCUCAUGCUUUGUGAUCACUUGAUUAUUCAAUGGGGAGACGCGCGUUCUGGAUUUACAGAUUUUCUCCUCAGACAAGUGUUUCUGUUUUGUGGUCGAUUCUGGGAUCCUUUUCUUGGUGUGUCUUGAUGUUUUCUAUUGGCUAAAGACAUAUCUCUGUGAAACUGACAAUCUCAGGUAGGAGCUGCUGGUUUGUGGUUGGCAGUAUGGAUCACGGUCUGCGACUCAUGAGGAGCUGGGCUGGAGACAUGAAGAGGUUGUCAACAGGCCAUCCAUCCAAGAUCAUCUGACUGAGCUGCUGAAAACUGCCUCGGUACGGAUCUGUUGCAGCUUUGUGUCACUGACUGUAUUUCUGCAAAUGCCUGUUCCGUGUCACAUUGCUUAUGCAAGACUGAAUCCAUAAAGAUGCUGUAACCAUAAAGCAACCAGGACAACACACCUGGAGUGACCGAGAGCAGGAUAAAGAAAGAAUCGGACGAGAAAAUAUCAACUGGUGCCCAUCAGGAGAAAUAUUGUUCUUGGACCUGCUUUUUCUGUUUAGUAAUAAGUGGUUUUAUGUGGUUAAAUAAAUGUAAUUUAAUAUUCAAUCCACAAGCUAAAUUUCCUACAUUUUCUUAAGUAGGUCACCCAAAAAGGAAACUUCUGUCAUCAUUUACACAAACAGUUUGGUUACAAACAUUUCUCACAAUAUCUUCCUUCGUGUUUAUCAGAACAAAGAAAUGUAUGCGGGUUUGUAACAACAUGAGCAGGGGGCGCCCAUGAUGAUUAAAAAUGUACUUUUUUUUAAAUGUACAAUAUAGUUUACAGUAAACUUACAUUUAUUUUUAUAAUAUUCAUGCUGUCAUUUACUUUUCCUUAUAUUUUUUCUUAAAAAAUACGUUUUAUAGCUUCGUACGGAUCUUUCAUUGUAGUUUUAAUGUAGUGUUCAAGUUCAUGCUCGUGUUUAACGUUACAGAGCUGUUGCAAAGUCACGCACAAUCCUGUUUGAUAAUCCGCACUGCUGUGACUGACAGAACACCCGACCAGUUAUCCGACAUCAGCAGCAAUUUAGUCCACACUCGGCCCGUUUGACAUAAAGACGCCGACCCGAUCACACCGCAAAUCGCGCAGUUAAAUAUAAACCUUUAAGGGUCUUCAGACAGAGCUUAAACACAAAUAAGCACAGGACCAUUUAAACACUGCUAUCUAUCGGAAUCGAGUCGAAGUUUGGUCUUGGAUGUUAGACCCGCAGUUAACUCUUGUUUAUUGAGUCCCGACCUGCAUCUACAACGCAAAUGACACAUUAAUAUACAUCAAAUAUAUGCGGUUCACCCGCGGGUACCCCGACCCUGCUGUCUGAAAACAGAUGAAACCGUCUCACCGUCUGCCUCAAGUUUUAAUUACCAACGUCCUUCUCUUCCCACGGGAAUAAUGUAAGUUUCCUUACAAACAGAUUCGACUAUUAAUGUCUUACAUUCCCAUAUGAGUAGUAUUCAGUAUUUAGCUUUUUUUUGGACAAAUAUCUCGUCAUUAAAUGUGAAACUUUGUGAGUGUCGAUCUGAAGCACAGAAGAUUGACAGCUGAGCGGUCAGCAGCGCGCUGCGCUUAUAGCCUAUAUUCUGAAUAACUAAUGGCCCGAUAAGUUGAUAAAAUGAGUACAGUGAUUCCAAAUGAAUUUCCAAAAAACUCGUAAUGUGUUAAAUCGAAAGUUUAAUCAUGUCUUUUCUCGCAGCCCUGCACUGCGUCCGUGUAUAUGCGCCGGUGAACAGCAUACGCGUGAUGACCUUGAACCUUAAAUUACCCUACAUUUAUUGUCAUACAGAUUAGGCUUGUCGCGAUAGUCGGUGAAACUGUGAUAACCGGUGCUUCAGCCUCUCACCGGUUAUAUCACUUGCCCACCGCGACACCGUCUUUCACCGUCGUUUUGAUAUUGUCGUGUAAUUAAAUCAUUUAGUUUCGUUAGAGAGAGCAAACACUUACAACUGAAUGUGUCUGAACGCGCGUCACGUCACAGAGCAGCCGCAGAUGUCAGAUUUCAUUUAUUUCUGUCAGAGUUUGCAAGGCGAGCUGACUGACCAGAUGAUGACAGAAGCCGCGUGCUUUGCUCGUUUUUGUUAUAAUAUACAUAUAUGAUGUUUAAUGUAAGCGAGAUCGUUUUGUUGUUGUGUUUUUAAUCAAGAAAAAUAUUAAACCCAUCAUUCAAGCAGCGCUUUUAUGGAGAAGUAGCCGGUUGCUCUGCUUGGGACUGGCGGGUUCUUUGAGAAUUACCUGCGCACAUUGACUCAAGCACUUAAGUAAACCAGCUGUUGCACUCACAUUGCACGCAAAUUCAUAGGCGAUUUAACGCAGCUUACGCAAGCGAUGCAUUUAAACAGUUGCGUAAUUCAAAAGUGAAAGUAAAAUGUGCACGUCUGCAUGCGCAUUUAUAAGCCCCUCCCACUCGGUGAUACCGGGAUCACCGAGUUUGUGACGCGCUGAUUAACCGGUGGGAAAAUUACGUCACCGCAGCAACCCUAAUACAGAUAAAAGUACAACAACAUUAGAAACUGUAAAUGUUGUAUUUUUAUUUGUGUAAACUCACAAUAAGGAGAAAACGUUGUGCUUAUUUAAAAUCCUUAAAAACAUUACGUGCUUUCUGCUGCUUUGGUUUUACAGCGCGUCACAAAAAAAGAAAAGAAACUUAAAUACUUUUUUUAUUCGUUUUGUCAAUCUGAUAAUUAUUUAAGUGUAACAUAUUUCGUGUAGGCUUAUUUAUUUUAUUAUUAUUUCUCAAAACAGAGACGUAGCCUAAUCAUCAUCUGUUGAUUUAAAUCUAUGUGUGCAUGAAACUAAACCCAUGGGGAAAUUGAUAUUUAGGCGAUUUAUUUAUAAAUGAGUGAACAACGCGAAUCCAGAAAGCAAUUUAUUUAUUUUUAAAGACAGCCAGUCUGGCAGGGCUCUUUAAUAUGCGAGCUGCCGCCGUGAGCUUUGUCUAGAAGGGAUACAGCAAAUGCCGAAAAGUUUAGGAUUAGAUUUGGAGGUAGGAUUAUUAGGAUAAAAACAGCGGCUCUGGCUAAAUGAGAUCCAAAUACAUCCUACAAUCGUGUGAAAUUUUGUGUUUAGAGUUGGGUUUGGGUGAAGGAUUAUGAUAAAACAGUGCUCAUACGGCAAGAUUUCGUUUGCUGUAUCCCUUCUAUCCACAAACGCAGGCGUGGCGGGGAUGUUUUACGCCUGGCGGCCCGCCACGGUAGAAUGUAUAUAGCGGAAACACUGAUGAGUGUGUAAAUAAUGACAGAAUUUUCAUUUUUGAGUGAACUACCCCUUUAACAUUUUUAUACCCAGGGGUAAAAGAAAUGUAUGUUAAACAUUUUUAGUUUGUCUUUUUUUAUUACUGCGACUUUCAACAAGACUAAUUAUUCAGCCAAGCUUAUUUUGUACUUUAAAAAAUGAAGCACUUUUAUGGGUUUUUAGACCCAGAUAUGAGCUCAGUUCGCCCAUAAAAUGCCCAGUGGUGCCACAAUUUUCCUGCAGUAUGCCCACACUUUUCCCAAAUAUUUUUAUUUAAAUACAUUUUUUCACACAGUAUUUUGUAUUUGUGAUAUCUGUGAAUUUGUGAUAGUAUUUUGUAUUUGAAUUUUAAAACAAUUCCAUGUAUGUAUGUAUGUAUGUAUGCCUAUCUCAGAUCAUAUAAGGGGCUGUUUACACUUGGUAUUAAGAUGUGUUUUCAUCGAUCGGAUCACAAGUGGACGAGAGAGACACAUUACGUUUACACCUGGUAUUUAAAUCCGUCUCUUUUGUCCACUUUCGACCGCUUCUGUGCUGAAUACUAUUAGGGGGUGGUCUUUGAGACGGUGGGCGAGUCUCUCUGCUGUCAUUCAAACCCGAGCGGGAGUAAUUAUGAGUUUAUAUGGAUGCAAACUAAUAUUAUGUCGGAGUGCACUGCUUGUUUAGCAAGUAAACAUGCUGCACCGUGUUUUGUACAUGAGUAUGUAAGAGCUUUCUUUGAAUUUUCAGCGCAAUUGAUGAAAUAGGAUCGCGCAACUUUCACACGCUUUCAAAACGAAACUACGGAGAUCAGCCGCAUUGAUAAAACUAAUGAAAAGCUAAAAAUAGCGCUGUUGAUCGAAUGUUCACGCCAGAAGUCAAAAAAAGACGUAAAGCUUGUGUUAAAUACCUCAGAUUAGAUAAAUGGGCGUAGAGAAGGCGGUCGCGUGUGGCUGUUCGAACGCAUUCAACCACAUGUGCGUUCCGCAACUCCAAAGCGAUCCGAUCGAAAGUGGUUUCGACCACCUCUGGAUGUGGUUGAAAGUGGUCGAAAGUGGACGAGCUCAAAACAUUUUGAACACCGUUUACACCUGGCAUUAACGUCGUCCACUUGUGAUCCGAUCGACGAAAACACAUGUUAAUGCCAAGUGUAAACAGCCUCUAAUAUGCAUGUGAAAGGCAGUUUCUGGUAUAAAUAGCAGAACACAAAAGGUUUAUCUGUGUCAUUAGAAAUGCAGUCAAAUAGUGGGACAACAAGGAUAACUGAUCAUGAAGGUAAGAACCUUAACCAUGCCAAGUGAGGGAUAUAGUAUGGCUGAAAAAACAAACCAAUUAAUGAAAUAUUCAUGUCAUAUGUGUAUUUGACAUAUACAUUUGUAUUACCUUUAUGUUAGCUGUCCUAUUUUGAGAUAAUUAUUAGCCUAAUAAUAAUAGUAUAAUUAAUAUUAUAUAAUUCAUUCUUAAAAUGAGGUUAAACCCUUGGAAAGACAUAGGAAAUAAUAUAGAAAUUUUGCCCUUUUAUAGACGUUUUUCAUGUCGUUGACGUCUAGAUAAAGGCUGAAUUUGGUUGAAAAGUGAAAGGUUAAAAGACGACCAUGAAAAGACACGUCUUUUCACCUUUCACUUUUCAACCAGAAUUUCACGUCAUUAAGACGUCCGGAGAAGUCGUCGUUUCGAUGUCUUUUCAACCAGAUUUUGCUGGGUGGGGCGGGUCUCUGGGCGGGGGUCUGUAGCUGCAGGCUCCGAGUCUGACCCGACCCAAACUAAACUAAACCGUGGGGUACUAUGCAAUGCAAAAGCGCCAUAAGAGUGCUCCAGACCAACCUUCCGAAAGAAUGACUUACACAAGGUAGCUACAUAACUAAAAACGUUUCGGGAAACACGUAUUAACGAUAAGGUACAACUUAAGAACGACGUAAAACUAGAAGGUCUCGGGGAACCCAGCCCAGAACAGUCCUUAUGAA